AUUGAACGCUGGCGGCAUGCUUUACACAUGCAAGUCGAACGGGGUGAGGAGCUUGCUCCUCAUCUAGUGGCGAACGGGUGAGUAAUACAUCGGAACGUACCGUGUAGUGGGGGAUAACUUACCGAAAGGUAGGCUAAUACCGCAUACGAUCCACGGAUGAAAGCAGGGGACCUUCGGGCCUUGUGCUAUACGAGCGGCCGAUGUCUGAUUAGCUAGUUGGUGAGGUAAAGGCUUACCAAGGCAACGAUCGGUAGCGGGUCUGAGAGGAUGAUCCGCCACACUGGGACUGAGACACGGCCCAGACUCCUACGGGAGGCAGCAGUGGGGAAUUUUGGACAAUGGGGGCAACCCUGAUCCAGCCAUGCCGCGUGUCUGAAGAAGGCCUUCGGGUUGUAAAGGACUUUUGUCAGGGAGCAAAUCCUAACAGCUAAUAUCUGUUGGGGAUGAGAGUACCUAAAGAAUAAGCACCGGCUAACUACGUG
rnacentral:rRNA from 1 species